rnacentral:rRNA from 1 species
ACGAAGGGUGCAAGCGUUACUCGGAAUUACUGGGCGUAAAGCGUGCGUAGGUGGUUUGUUAAGUCUGUUGUGAAAGCCCCGGGCUCAACCUGGGAAUGGCAAUGGAUACUGGCAAGCUAGAGUGCGGUAGAGGGUAGUGGAAUUCCCGGUGUAGCGGUGAAAUGCGUAGAGAUCGGGAGGAACACCCGUGGCGAAGGCGGCACUCUGGGACGGUACUGACGCUGAGACGCGAAAGCGUGGGGAGCAAACAGGA